UACAGAGGUCCCAAGCGUUGUUCGGAUUCACUGGGCGUAAAGGGUGCGUAGGCGGUCGGGUAAGUCUGAUGUGAAAUCUCACAGCUUAACUGUGAAACUGCAUUGGAUACUAUUCGGCUUGAGAGUUGGAGGGGGGACUGGAAUUCUUGGUGUAGCAGUGAAAUGCGUAGAUAUCAAGAGGAACACCAGUGGCGAAGGCGAGUCCCUGGACAACUUCUGACGCUGAGGCGCGAAAGCUAGGGGAGCAAACAGG
rnacentral:rRNA from 1 species